rnacentral:rRNA from 1 species
UAACCAUACAUGAUAUCGCUUAGAUGGACCAUAACAAGCUGUAAGAUAACAACAUUAAAGGAACUUGACAGGC